rnacentral:rRNA from 1 species
AUUCCGUCGGAAUCUGGGAGGACCAUCUCCUAAGGCUAAAUACUCUCUAGUGACCGAUAGUGAACCAGUACCGUGAGGGAAAGGUGAAAAGCACCCCGGAAGGAGAGUGAAAUAGAACCUGAAACCGUGUGCUUACAAGUAGUCAGAGCCCGUUAAUGGGUGAUGGCGUGCCUUUUGUAGAAUGAACCGGCGAGUUACGAUUUGAUGCAAGGUUAAGCAGUAAAUGUGGAGCCGUAGCGAAAGCGAGUCUGAAUAGGGCGUUUAGUAUUUGGUCGUAGACCCGAAACCAGGUGAUCUACCCUUGGUCAGGUUGAAGUUCAGGUAACACUGAAUGGAGGACCGAACCGACUUACGUUGAAAAGUGAGCGGAUGAACUGAGGGUAGCGGAGAAAUUCCAAUCGAACCUGGAGAUAGCUGGUUCUCUCCGAAAUAGCUUUAGGGCUAGCCUCAAGUGAUGAUUAUUGGAGGUAGAGCACUGUUUGGACGAGGGGCCCCUCUCGGGUUACCGAAUUCAGACAAACUCCGAAUGCCAAUUAAUUUAACUUGGGAGUCAGAACAUGGGUGAUAAGGUCCGUGUUCGAAAGGGAAACAGCCCAGACCACCAGCUAAGGUCCCAAAAUAUAUGUUAAGUGGAAAAGGAUGUGGCGUUGCCCAGACAACUAGGAUGUUGGCUUAGAAGCAGCCAUCAUUUAAAGAGUGCGUAAUAGCUCACUAGUCGAGUGACACUGCGCCGAAAAUGUACCGGGGCUAAACAUAUUACCGAAGCUGUGGAUUGUCCUUUGGACAAUGGUAGGAGAGCGUUCUAAGGGCGUUGAAGCAUGAUCGUAAGGACAUGUGGAGCGCUUAGAAGUGAGAAUGCCGGUGUGAGUAGCGAAAGACGGGUGAGAAUCCCGUCCACCGAUUGACUAAGGUUUCCAGAGGAAGGCUCGUCCGCUCUGGGUUAGUCGGGUCCUAAGCUGAGGCCGACAGGCGUAGGCGAUGGAUAACAGGUUGAUAUUCCUGUACCACCUAUAAUCGUUUUAAUCGAUGGGGGGACGCAGUAGGAUAGGCGAAGCGUGCGAUUGGAUUGCACGUCUAAGCAGUAAGGCUGAGUAUUAGGCAAAUCCGGUACUCGUUAAGGCUGAGCUGUGAUGGGGAGAAGACAUUGAGUCUUCGAGUCGUUGAUUUCACACUGCCGAGAAAAGCCUCUAGAUAGAAAAUAGGUGCCCGUACCGCAAACCGACACAGGUAGUCAAGAUGAGAAUUCUAAGGUGAGCGAGCGAACUCUCGUUAAGGAACUCGGCAAAAUGACCCCGUAACUUCGGGAGAAGGGGUGCUCUUUAGGGUUAACGCCCAGAAGAGCCGCAGUGAAUAGGCCCAAGCGACUGUUUAUCAAAAACACAGGUCUCUGCUAAACCGUAAGGUGAUGUAUAGGGGCUGACGCCUGCCCGGUGCUGGAAGGUUAAGAGGAGUGGUUAGCUUCUGCGAAGCUACGAAUCGAAGCCCCAGUAAACGGCGGCCGUAACUAUAACGGUCCUAAGGUAGCGAAAUUCCUUGUCGGGUAAGUUCCGACCCGCACGAAAGGCGUAACGAUUUGGGCACUGUCUCAACGAGAGACUCGGUGAAAUCAUAGUACCUGUGAAGAUGCAGGUUACCCGCGACAGGACGGAAAGACCCCGUGGAGCUUUACUGUAGCCUGAUAUUGAAAUUCGGCACAGCUUGUACAGGAUAGGUAGGAGCCUUUGAAACGUGAGCGCUAGCUUACGUGGAGGCGCUGGUGGGAUACUACCCUAGCUGUGUUGGCUUUCUAACCCGCACCACUUAUCGUGGUGGGAGACAGUGUCANGCGGGCAGUUUGACUGGGGCGGUCGCCUCCUAAAAGGUAACGGAGGCGCUCAAAGGUUCCCUCAGAAUGGUUGGAAAUCAUUCAUAGAGUGUAAAGGCAUAAGGGAGCUUGACUGCGAGACCUACAAGUCGAGCAGGGUCGAAAGACGGACUUAGUGAUCCGGUGGUUCCGCAUGGAAGGGCCAUCGCUCAACGGAUAAAAGCUACCCCGGGGAUAACAGGCUUAUCUCCCCCAAGAGUUCACAUCGACGGGGAGGUUUGGCACCUCGAUGUCGGCUCAUCGCAUCCUGGGGCUGUAGUCGGUCCCAAGGGUUGGGCUGUUCGCCCAUUAAAGCGGUACGCGAGCUGGGUUCAGAACGUCGUGAGACAGUUCGGUCCCUAUCCGUCGUGGGCGUAGGAAAUUUGAGAGGAGCUGUCCUUAGUACGAGAGGACCGGGAUGGACAUACCUCUGGUGUACCAGUUGUCGUGCCAACGGCAUAGCUGGGUAGCUAUGUGUGGACGGGAUAAGUGCUGAAAGCAUCUAAGCAUGAAGCCCCCCUCAAGAUGAGAUUUCCCAACUUCGGUUAUAAGAUCCCUCAAAGAUGAUGAGGUUAAUAGGUUCGAGGUGGAAGCAUGGUGACAUGUGGAGCUGACGAAUACUAAUCGAUCGAAGACUUAAUCAA